GGCUCGGUGGCGCAUGGGUGCGCCUCUACUGCUUGUAAGAUGCCGAGAAAGUUACGUAGAGACUCCCGUUCGAUUCGGGGUUGGGCCA